rnacentral:rRNA from 1 species
CCUACGGGUGGCAGCAGUGGGGAAUAUUGGGCAAUGGAGGAAACUCUGACCCAGCAACGCCGCGUGAAUGAUGAAGGUCUUCGGAUUGUAAAGUUCUUUUCUAAGGGAAGAAGAAAGUGCCGGUACCUUAGGAAUAAGCCUCGGCUAACUACGUGCCAGCAGCCGCGGUAAUACGUAGGAGGCGAGCGUUAUCCGGAAUGACUGGGCGUAAAGGGUGCGUAGGUGGUUUGGCAAGUUAGUAGCGUAACUCCAAGGCUCAACCUGUGGCCUGCAUUUGAAACUGUAGUUCUUGAGUACUGGAGAGGCAGACGGAAUUCCUAGUGUAGCGGUGAAAUGCGUAGAUAUUAGGAGGAACACCAGUGGCGAAGGCGGUCUGCUGGACAGCAACUGACGCUGAGGCGCGAAAGCGUGGGGAGCAAACAGGAUUAGAUACCCUGGUAGUC